ensembl:lncRNA
CAUUGAUGCAUCCAGAGAAGAUGGGUCACUUGGACGAUUAGCGAAUGACGACCACAAAUCACCAAACUGUGUCAUGAAAAAAGUUAGUGUAAAUGACAGAGUACAUUUGUGCCUGUUUGCUCUGAGAAACAUAGAACCAGGAACUGAAAUUGUCUACAACUAUGGGGACUCAAAAUGGCCCUGGCGUAAAAAGGAGAACCUUGAGAAUGCCAACGUUGGGUCAGAUGAACCCAAGCUGUUCCCGGAUCAUGUUACUACUCAGGAGAACCUUGAGAAUGCCAACGUUGGGUCAGAUGAACCCAAGCUGUUCCCUGAUCAUGUUACUACUCAGGAGAACCUUGAGAAUGCCACCGUUGGGUCAGAUGAACCCAAGCUGUUCCCUGAUCCUGUUACUACUCAGGAGAACCUUGAGAAUGUCAACGUUGGGUCGGAUGAACCCAAGCUGUUCCCUGAUCAUGUUACUACUCAGGAGAACCAUGAGAAUGCCACCGUUGGGUCAGAUGAACCCAAGCUGUUCCCUGAUCCUGUUACUACUCAGGAGAACCUUGAGAAUGCCAACGUUGGGUCGGAUGAACCCAAGCUGUUCCCUGAUCAUGUUACUACUCAGGAGAACCUUGAGAAUGCCAACGUUGGGUCAGAUAAACCCAAGCUGUUCCCUGAUCAUGUUACUACUCAGGAGAACCUUGAGAAUACCAACGUUGGGUCAGAUGAACCCAAGCUGUUCCCUGAUCAUGUUACUACUCAGAGACCGUUGACUCACAAGAUUGUCCCCAAGAGAACAGUGAAGGUAUGUGUCAGAGAUUGAUUGAUUGGUUUGGUUGUUGGUUGAAUUAUUUAAUAAUGACCACUGCAUGCAUUCUGUCUCAUGCCCAUGGGUGUCCCUGGUUACUAAUGAACAUCUUUUUCGAGUACACUAAGGCACAAGUACUAUAUAGUUACAUACACAUAUGUGCAUCUUCAGGUAUGCUGGAAGGAGAGGAGACAGAAGAUGCAACUUUUUUGUCAGAAGAAGUACAGGGAUCAGAGGAUGAGACUGCAUCAACCCUGCUAGAAGGUACCGCCUCUGUGAACUCCAAAAAGAAGAGAUUGGCAAGAAAGAGAGGAAUAUCAGAAGACGAAGCCACACCUCUCACAACAUCCGGCACAAAGAAAAGCAAGCCAUCAAGAAAGAAAGGUACAAAACCUGCCAUCAGAAGACCAUGGACGCCAGAGGAGUGUGCAGCAAUUAAGAGGCAAUUGAGAAGGUUUUUAAUAAUGAAUAUGACACCGGGUAAGGCAGAUUGUGAAAAAUGCCUUUCCGAAGAACCCGAGGCACUCAAAAACCGAGACUGGAAGGCAGUAAAAUACUUUGUGAAAAACAGAAGUUAUGAACAGAGAAAGAAAUCGAUGUAAGAAAAAAUAGGAAAGGUUUUUUUUCUCAUCUCUUGGAUUUUUGGAUUGAUGCAAAAGUCAGGUUUUAUUACCAUGCAAAAUGGUAGAAAUGUUCACAAUACAGUUCACAAAGGUUCAACCUAUGCCUGCCUUCGGCAUUCAAGCUAUUGUUAAAAAAAUGUUAAGUUGUUGCUGUUUGAUUUCGAUUUUCAUAUUCACGUCAUAAGAACUGAAACUACCGAUGGCAUUAUGGUCUUUUUUUGUCACUGUACCAUAACAAGUAAUACUCAAAGUUGAAUAAAAGUGAGAAAUGUGAGUAAACUCUGAUUAUUUAAUUACUCAUGGAUAGAAAUCGGACAAAUGGAAGAGGGAGGUCGAUGUUCAAGCUGGAAAGUUAAAAAAAAAAUCAUGCCUUGCUGAUGCCUAAUCCUGCCCAGGAGGACAAACCAAAGAUUUCUCUCGAUUUUUGGUCAUAUUGUAAGCGGCACUUGUAGGCAUGCUGUAUAGGCUGUUUCCUUAACCUCUAUGGUGGCUGGGGUGGGAAUAUCUGACCCCUGAAUUCAAGAAAGUGAUGCAAAUCAAGAAGCGUGUAGGAUUCAAACUCCAAAGGGGUUUAUUGGGACAAAAAUAAA